rnacentral:rRNA from 1 species
AGCAUAUCAAUAAGCGGAGGAAAAGAAACCAACAGGGAUUGCCCUAGUAACGGCGAGUGAAGCGGCAAUAGCUCAAAUUUGAAAGCUGGCCUUCGGGUCCGCAUUGUAAUUUGUAGAGGAUGCUUUGGGGCAGCCGCCUGUCUAAGUUCCUUGGAACAGGACGUCAUAGAGGGUGAGAAUCCCGUAUGUGACAGGACAUGGCACCCUAUGUAAAGCUCCUUCGACGAGUCGAGUUGUUUGGGAAUGCAGCUCUAAAUGGGAGGUAAAUUUCUUCUAAAGCUAAAUACUGGCGAGAGACCGAUAGCGCACAAGUAGAGUGAUCGAAAGAUGAAAAGCACUUUGGAAAGAGAGUUAAAAAGCACGUGAAAUUGUUGAAAGGGAAGCGCUUGCAAUCAGACUUGUUCUGACUGUUCGGCCGGUCUUCUGACCGGUUUAUUCAGUCUGGGCAGGCCAGCAUCAGUUUCGGCGGUCGGAUAAAGGCCUUGGGAAUGUGGCUCUGCCUUCGGGGAGAGUGUUAUAGCCCAGGGUGUAAUACGGCCAGCCGGGACUGAGGUCCGCGCUUCGGCUAGGAUGCUGGCGUAAUGGUUGUAAGCGACCCGUCUUGAAACACGGACCAAGGAGUCUAACAUCUAUGCGAGUGUUCGGGUGUCAAACCCCUACGCGUAAUUAAAGUGAACGGAGGUGGGAACCGCAAGGUGCACCAUCGACCGAUCCUGAUGUCUUCGGAUGGAUUUGAGUAAGAGCAUAGCUGUUGGGACCCGAAAGAUGGUGAACUAUGCCUGAAUAGGGUGAAGCCAGAGGAAACUCUGGUGGAGGCUCGCAGCGGUUCUGACGUGCAAAUCGAUCGUCAAAUUUGGGUAUAGGGGCGAAAGACUAAUCGAACCAUCUAGUAGCUGGUUCUGC